UACGGGAGGCAGCAGUGGGGAAUAUUGCACAAUGGGCGAAAGCCUGAUGCAGCUAUGCCGCGUGUAUGAAGAAGGCCUUAGGGUUGUAAAGUACUUUCAUCGGGGAGGAAAAAAACAAAACUAAUAAUUUUAUUUCUUGACGUUACCCGAAAAAGAAGCACCGGCUAACUCCGUGCCAGCAGCCGCGGUAAUACGGAGGGUGCUAGCGUUAAUCAGAAUUACUGGGCGUAAAGAGCACGUAGGUGGUUUUUUUAAAGUCAGAUGUGAAAUCCCUGGGCUUAACCUAGGAACUGCAUUUUGAAACUGAAAUACUAGAGUAUCGUAGGGGGAGGUAGAAUUCUAGGUGUAGCGGUGAAAUGCGUAGAUAUCUGGAGGAAUACCUGUGGCGAAAGCGGCCUCCUAAACGAAUACUGACACUGAGGGUGCGAAAGCGUGGGGAGCAAACAGGGAUUAGAUACC
rnacentral:rRNA from 1 species